UAGCUUGCUAAUGAAAUUCUUAGUGGCGGACGGGUUAGUAACACGUGAGAAUCCUACCCUUGAGUGGGGAAUAGCCUUUCGAAAGGAAGAUUAAUGCCCCAUAGUCUCUACGGAGUAAAGAUGCCUUCGGGUGUCGCUUAAGGAUGGGCUCGCGGCCUAUCAGCUAGUUGGUGAGGUAAGAGCUCACCAAGGCAACGACGGGUAGCUGGUCUGAGAGGACGAUCAGCAACACUGGAACUGAGACACGGUCCAGACACCUACGGGUGGCAGCAGUCGAGAAUCAUUCACAAUGGACGAAAGUCUGAUGGUGCAACGCCGCGUGGAGGAUGACGGCCCUAGGGUUGUAAACUCCUGUCAUCAGGGAGUAAGACUUAUUCGUUAAUAGCGUGUAAGUUUGAUAGUACCUGAAG
rnacentral:rRNA from 1 species